CGUACGUCCUGUGCGGAGGAGGUGUGUUGGUGCGCGGAGUGGUCGAGGUGCGCGUACAGAAGCUAGUAGAGAGUAUACAGUAGGUACGUACGUCCUGUGCGGAGGAGGUGUGUUGGUGCGCGGAGUGGUCGAGGUGCGCGUACAGAAGCUAGUAGAGAGUAUACAGUAGGUACGUACGUCCUGUGCGGAGGAGGUGUGUUGGUGCGCGGAGUGGUCGAGGUGCGCGUACAGAAGCUAGUAGAGAGUAUACAGUGUGUACGUACGUCCUGUGCGGAGGAGGUGUGUUGGUGCGCGGAGUGGUCGAGGUGCGCGUACAGAAGCUAGUAGAGAGUAUACAGUGUGUACGUACGUCCUGUGCGGAGGAGGUGUGUUGGUGCGCGGAGUGGUCGAGGUGCGCGUACAGAAGCUAGUAGAGAGUAUACAGUGUGUACGUACGUCCUGUGCGGAGGAGGUGUGUUGGUGCGCGGAGUGGUCGAGGUGCGCGUACAGAAGCUAGUAGAGAGUAUACAGUGUGUACGUACGUCCUGUGCGGAGGAGGUGUGUUGGUGCGCGGAGUGGUCGAGGUGCGCGUACAGAAGCUAGUAGAGAGUAUACAGUGUGUACGUACGUCCUGUGCGGAGGAGGUGUGUUGGUGCGCGGAGUGGUCGAGGUGCGCGUACAGAAGCUAGUAGAGAGUAUACAGUGUGUACGUACGUCCUGUGCGGAGGAGGUGUGUUGGUGCGCGGAGUGGUCGAGGUGCGCGUACAGAAGCUAGUAGAGAGUAUACAGUGUGUACGUACGUCCUGUGCGGAGG